ACCAUUUACUUAUCAGCCAUGUACCCUCUAAUAAAUUACUCAAUCUCUCAAUAUCAAUCUCUUCAUCUGGGAUAAAGAUACCUAUUUCCUUAAGUUGUAGGUUUGUGUGUAUACUGUAGGAGGUAGGGAAGAAGUUGGAAUUCAAUGAGAUGUGCAUGGAAAGCUCUUUACAUUGUGCCUGGCAUCAAUUUAUUACACAUACUGAUAUUUGUUGAACACCUACUCUGUGCCUGGUGUUGUUCUGGGUACUGGGGACAAAUGGAUACCUAUCCCUAUGGAGCUUAUAGUCUAAAGGUUUAAGGAAUACAGGAUAGUAGAAAUAAGACUGGUAUUGAAGAGAGCAGUUCACAAUGCCAGAGAAAUGAAUUCCCUAAAGAACUAUAUGAAGGGUCAGCAAAAGAAGACCACCCAACUCUGAUGAGUUUGGUGUCUCUGAUGAGACCAGUGCAGGGCAGCUGCUGAAGUUAAGAGGAAAUGCCUCUGAUUAAAUACCUGAUUGUUUGCAUAAUAUAGGCCUAACUUUGGUAGCCUAACCUGAAAGAUGGCCUUCUGAAAUGAAUUUAACUGAACUGACCUAUCGUCAGGACUGAGUCUAGUUCGAUGAGACUGAACAAUCUACUGGCUCAACUUCUGGACGAUGAAAUUUCUUGAGGAAAUUUCAAAGGCAGGACUGUGGAGGAGCAAAAUGUACCACCCCAAAAUGUGUUUCUCUGGCUCAACAAGGAGGAAUUUGUGUACUCAUGGGGGGAAAAUGUUGCUUCUAUGAAUAAAAUCUGUUAAAAGAUUAGUACUUUUCAGCAAAUAAACUAAUUUUACCCAUUA